rnacentral:rRNA from 1 species
AACGAACGCUGGCGGCAUGCCUAACACAUGCAAGUCGAACAAGACCUUCGGGUCUAGUGGCGCACGGGUGCGUAACGCGUGGGAACCUGCCCUUAGGUUCGGAAUAACUCCCCGAAAGGGGUGCUAAUACCGGAUAAUGUCUUCGGACCAAAGAUUUAUCGCCUUUGGAUGGGCCCGCGUUGGAUUAGCUAGUUGGUAGGGUAAAAGCCUACCAAGGCGACGAUCCAUAGCUGGUCUGAGAGGAUGAUCAGCCACACUGGGACUGAGACACGGCCCAGACUCCUACGGGAGGCAGCAGUGGGGAAUAUUGGACAAUGGGCGAAAGCCUGAUCCAGCAAUGCCGCGUGAGUGAUGAAGGCCUUAGGGUUGUAAAGCUCUUUUACCCGGGAUGAUAAUGUCAGUACCGGGAGAAUAAGCUCCGGCUAACUCCGUG